rnacentral:tmRNA from 1 species
GGGGACGACAGGCUUCGACGUGGACGUUUACGUGGGGACAGUUGCGAGCCGAGGUGCCCGGUAGGCCUCGUAAAACAACCGGGAAAAACACAAGUGCGGACUCUCACGAGUACGCGCUCGCUGCCUAAAUAACCUAGGCGAGUGAGCUGUCGGCCUCCCCUCGGCCCGUGGGGGAGAUAGCUGGCAUCAGAAACGGGCUCCGCCGGGCGGAAGUGCCUCCGAUCCGCCCGGGACUUCAAGGAGGCUGGCGCUCAGGAACCCGGUUGGCUUGGCGACCUGAGAGCGAGACAUAGAGGGCCAACUACGCUCGUAGACGCUGUUCCCGCACGGCCGCGGACGUGGGUUCGAUUCCCACCGUCUCCAUGA